rnacentral:lncRNA from 1 species
GCUCAGGGCGAUGCUCUCUUACUGUCCUUCUGUUCUGACAGAGCAUUGCUUCAUCUCAUCUUCUAUUGGUUCCACUGCUCCAGGAUUCAUUAUGAGGAAAUUGAUUGGGUUUCACUUGGAUGUCUACCUAUUAGAACCUUAUAAAAAUGAGAAACAUAUUUUGUGUCACUUCUCCAGAACCUGAAGAUAUCACGUUGAAUGUGGCAAUAUGGUGGAGGGGUAAAGGAAAGAGAGGUCAUCAUAAUAUCAUAGAAUUUCAAGAUCAGUUCCUGCAAUUGUCUUGGCAAUUAAUAUUUCAGAGGAUGCAGCCAACACACUGGAGGCCUUCAGCUCAUAUUUUUGUAGAGAUUAUUGUAGUCAAUUCAACAAGUAAAUAAAUUCAUAUAAUCCUAAAUUCAAAUCCAGUUUUUGUCUCUUAUUAGUUAUAUGACCCCAGGCAAGUCACUUAACCCGGUUGGCCUCAGUUUCUUCAUUUAUAAAAUGAUCUAGAAAAUGAAAUGUCAAACUCACUCCAGGAUCUUUACUAAGAAAACCAGAAAUUGGGUCCUGAAG